UCUCAUACCAUUCAACAGUCAUCUGUUUGUUGGAGAGGAAAUGUAAAAAAAGGACAGGAAAAGCCGGAUAUUUUAAUUUGUGAUAAAUUUCCAGAAUAAUGUGAACAGUUUCCAAACUAGAAGAAAUUUAGCGGCUACCUGGUUCUGGUUUUUAAGAGGAGGCAGCAAGUAGGAGAGUAGAAUACGAUUAAUUUUCUCUGAAUUAUUUAUAUCUGAAAUAUGUUCACAUUAUUUGCCUUGUUGCCAUGGAAAUCCACAAUUCUUCCCUACUCUGCCUUAUUCGUCACGAUAUCCUUCGUCCUCUACUUGGUGUCAAAGCACAUCCGGUACGAUUUCGGGCGGGAAUUUGUUCUCAACCUAUUUUGCAGUAUGCAAGGUCGAAAAUCUCUCUGGGUCAGUGACCCCGCUUUGGCGCGCCGCCUCCUCUCCUCCUCCUCCUCGAAGGGGAGCGGGAUCGAACAAAUCCUGAGCACGAAGGCCUUCCUGCCCAUAAUUUCGCUAGAAUCGGUGAACGGCGACCAGUGGGAGAGAAUGAAGGAGAACUUCCUCACCCUGAAGACCCACCUGCCCCCGCUGGACGAACUGGCGAAGAUAGCGGGAACCACGGCGGAGAGUUAUUUGGAGAAGGAGGAAAUCAUAGAUAGUCGGGCGCUGUCGAAAUUAAUUGUGGAAAUUAUGCAGACCUGGUUAUUCGGGGAUAGCGGGGAAGUUAGUGACGAGGUCAUCGCAGCGAUAGAGGAAUGGCGAAAAGAAAUCGCGAUCAAGGGACGCGGCGGGGAUGAAGUGAAGGCUUUAGCGGUGUCCUGGAUUCAAGGGAAGAUCCGCAGGAAUAGAAAAUAUUUUGAAAUAUUUGGAGAAAAGUGGUUUACAGAUGCGGAAUACUGGUCGGACUGGCAAUGGUUAAGUGCACAUGCACUAAGAUCGGCUUCACAGCGACUGACUCGCCUGAAUUAUAAGUAGAGAUUAAUUAUGAUUCUUAGUAAUGAAUUGACAAAAAAAUAUACCCUAAGUUGAACAGGUAUACGACAGCCAAGAAAUACGACCCAUCAGUUUCAAUCAGCCAUUUCCCGGUCGAGUAAAAUUUUUAGUUCUCAAUGUCCAUGCCCAGGUCGAGUGGCAAAGCCAAACUCUGCCGCAGCUCUGGCAGUCGAAGGCCAGAUCGCCCGCUAGAUGCUCUUAUCUGGUUUUGCGCAAGGUCGACAUAACCUGCGUGUCCUGGAAUGUAAGGGAAGGGAACUUUUCCAUACAUGAGCAGAAUUUACAUAGCUUACUCUAGUCGCCAGCUUUGGCCAUAAAUGAAUUCAAGCAUCGACAGGUAAUAGUCCCUGAAGAAAUCUGACCAUUGUACAAAUCAGGCUAGACUGUGCUGAAUUAUGUAUUGACGAAAACUGAAAUAUCUAAUUUACAUGAAAGAAAUUUUAACACUAGAAAUUUAACCUUAUAAGCAAUACUUUGAAAACUAUGAGUGAAUUUAAUGACGUAAAUUGACAGCUUUCCUGCCAAGCCAGGUCUUUCUGAAUACAUGUCCAAAAAUGCUCUUAAUGCCAAUCUUGUAGCUAAGGACAACCAUUGCAAACAUUAUUGAUGCGGUUCAGUCAUAAAUUUUACCAGCAAUGAAGAGCAUCAGAGUGACUCCGCAGAUACCGACAUUGUUACCAAAUUGGUAAUACUAUCUAUCUAUAUAAUAUAGAUAGAUUGUAUUACCAAUCAUGUAAGUAAACGAUUUAAUAUAUAGUCUAUACAUAUGAUAAAAAUUGUAUCAAUAAAUUUCCAAAAAUUCUUCAUUCCGAAAUGAAAACCAUUAGUUUUUCUGCCAUAGAUUGAUAAAUUCACUUUUAAGUAAAUAUUUCCAUUAGUGAUUAUUCAGUAAUACAUAUACACAUCUUAAGAAUAUGUAAGUAUAGGAGGCUUGCGUGAUGGCGUGUUUGCGUUUUAAAAAAUUGAUAUUAGUUUUCGAGUACAUGCAUGUUUUGAAUACAUGCAAAAAGAAGCGGGCUGACACGCAAUUCUUAAGAACCUUAAAACUAAUUUACUAAAAGGAAAGUCACAAAAAUAAGCAAUAUUUCUUCCAUCAUGCACCAUCCAAUCAGUGUGAGCAAAACGGCGCCGUUUUGGGAUAAAAUUUAUGCCGUUUUGCGGGAUUGCCCUUUUGCCGGAUUGCCUUUUUGUAUGUUUUAACAUAGAGCCCUAAAGGAAAACGGCACGGCAAGGGGAUUUUACUCGGCAAAACGGUAUGCUGGAUUGCCGUUUUGCCACAUUGCCGUUUUCGCGGAGUACACUGCAUCCAAUAUUUAGAAUAUUCUCUAUAGUUUCGUGUUUAAUACAUAUGUUGAACUGAAAAUGUUAACAUGAACCCAAACAUAUUUCAAUAACUAGGCUAUUUCAUAGUGCCCGUAGUACCAGCACCGGCCCAGUAAAUGACGUUGUAAAAGUUUACAUAUUUAUAAAAAAUUACCCACUCCUCCCAAUUCAUAUUCCAUGCAGUCCUUUUCAGAAGGGCGUUCCAUUAUGGAACUUCUAUACACUGGACAAAUGUAUGGAAGAUAAUAAAGAAUUUCACUACAAAUUAUAAAGAUAUGUAUGUAAUCGUAUUAAUAAAUUUUAUUGUUAUUUUCCGUAUUAAAAGUAUUAAAUCGCAGAGUAUUCAUGAUUACACAUCAACGUAAA